AGCAGACAGCACAAGUCAGCCGUGCCCCUUCAGAGCACCCUCUGUCACAGACAUAUUUCAUGAAAAAUCCUUUUGCCAGGAUCUUUUCUCCUGAGAAGCUGGGAAGCUUCAGCUUCUCCAUGUUUUGCUGCUUUGGAAUGUGAUUUGGAGAAUUGUUUACCCAGCAUGUGAAUUGUUUUUACUUGAUGACCAAUGAAAGCCACCAGUGCUGAGGCUGUGAGCAGUUACAAGAUUUUAUUAUCAUUCUUUUCUAUUCCUUGCCAGCCUUCUGAUGAAAUCCUUUCUUCUAUUCUUUUUAGUAUAGUUUUAGUAUAUCAUUUCCUUUUCAUAUAAUACAUAUAAUAAAAUAAUAAAUCAGCCUUCUGAAACAUGGAGUCAAGAUUCUCAUCUCUUCCCUCAAUAAUAACAGCUAGCAGAAAGCAAAUCUGCCAUUUGCAGGAAUAAAUUGUGCAAGAUGCUGCUAAAAUAACAACUAUCAUUUACAGUACAGCUGUUACCCAUCCUAAAGAAAUCUUUAAAAAAUUAAAAUCUUUAGUGUCUGACAAUCUACCGUAAUCAGGACCUGGGACCCCUGCAAACACCACCACACACCCUCCAACCAAGCCCGGACAAUCUGUGGUAUUCACACACCCUCUGAACAGAGAGAAGCUGUGGGACAAGCAGAGAAGGAAAACACAAUUCAAUUCUUAUCUCACUUGCUGUGCCUGUGUUGUGCUAAAGCAGAAUGCAAUGUGGAGAUGGCUUACCCAAAGGGAGGAGGUUUGGUUCCCUUGGCCUGUCAGGGCCAGGUGAGUGUGUGUGGGACUGUCACAGGACAGUCAGGAGAGAAUCAGGGCCAGGUGAGUGUGUGGGACUGUCACAGGACAGUCACCAGAGAAUGAGGGCCAGGUGAGUGUGUGGGACUGUCACGGGACAGUCACCAGAGAAUCAGGGCCAGGUGAGUGUGUGGGACUGUCACAGGUCAGUCAGGAGAGAAUCAGGGCCAGGUGAGUGUGUGGGACUGUCACAGGACAGUCACCAGAGAAUCAGGGCCAGGUGAGUGUGUGGGACUGUCACAGGACAGUCAGGAGAGAAUCAGGGCCAGGUGAGUGUGUGGGACUGUCACAGGACAGUCAGGAGAGAAUCAGGGCCAGGUGAGUGUGUGGGACUGUCACAGGACAGUCAGGAGAGAAUCAGGGCCAGGUGAGUGUGUGGGACUGUCACAGGACAGUCAGGAGAGAAUCAGGGCCAGGUGAGUGUGUGGGACUGUCACAGGUCAGUCAGGAGAGAAUCAGGGCCAGGUGAGUGUGUGGGAUUGUCACAGGACUGUCACCAGAGAAUGAGGGCCAGGUGAGUGUGUGGGACUGUCACGGGACAGUCACCAGAGAAUCAGGGCCAGGUGAGUGUGUGGGACUGUCACAGGACAGUCAGGAGAGAAUCAGGGCCAGGUGAGUGUGUGGGAUUGUCACAGGACUGUCACCAGAGAAUGAGGGCCAGGUGAGUGUGUGGGACUGUCACAGGACAGUCAGGAGAGAAUCAGGGCCAGGUGAGUGUGUGGGACUGUCACAGGACAGUCAGGAGAGAAUCAGGGCCAGGUGAGAGUGUGUGGGACUGUCACAGGACAGUCACCAGAGAAUCAGAUAUGAGUGCAGUGCUGUGCAGUUGUGAGCAAGUGCCUGGCAGAUUCAAUUUAGACAAAAUGUACAUAGUACAGUAUAAUAAAGUAAUUCAUUAGUAAUUCAUUAGUAAUUCAUUAGUAAUUCAUUAGCCUUCUGAUGAUGGAGUCAGAUGCACCAUUCUCUCUCCCCUUCGCCGGAGUCGCCCUUGAUUUACAACAAGAGCCCAAGGCGGUG